AAAUAUUUUUGGUACUUUUUAAUAAAAACAAAAAAAAAAAAUCUGUUCUUAUCAGUUUAAUUUCUGAUAUGUCCUUGAUUUACGAGGACUGAUGCAUUUUUGGUGCUGGGAGCGGGCCUCAGCUUGCUCCAGCCCCUCCGCGCAUCGGCCCGGUAUUGCAGUGCCUCCGAGCCCGGUGCCCACUCC